GAACUCUAAGAGUACACUCCCAACCCCAAUGUGAACGUUACCAAUCUGUUGCCUCGGCGGGAUUCUCUUGCCCCGGGCGCGUCGCAGCCCCGGAUCCCAUGGCGCCCGCCGGAGGACCAACUCCAAACUCUUUUUUUCUCUCCGUCGCGGCUCCCGUCGCGGCUCUGUUUUAUUUUUGCUCUGAGCCUUUCUCGGCGACCCUAGCGGGCGUCUCGAAAAUGAAUCAAAACUUUCAACAACGGAUCUCUUGGUUCUGGCAUCGAUGAAGAACGCAGCGAAAUGCGAUAAGUAAUGUGAAUUGCAGAAUUCAGUGAAUCAUCGAAUCUUUGAACGCACAUUGCGCCCGCCAGUAUUCUGGCGGGCAUGCCUGUCCGAGCGUCAUUUCAACCCUCGAACCCCUCCGGGGGGUCGGCGUUGGGGAUCGGCCCCUCACCGGGCCGCCCCCGAAAUACAGUGGCGGUCUCGCCGCAGCCUCUCCUGCGCAGUAGUUUGCACACUCGCACCGGGAGCGCGGCGCGGCCACAGCCGUAAAACACCCCAAACUUCUGAAAUGUUGACCUCGGAUCAGGUAGGAAUACCCGCUGAACUUAAGCAUAUCAAUAAGCGGAGGAA
rnacentral:rRNA from 1 species